AAAUUGAAGAGUUUGAUCAUGGCUCAGAUUGAACGCUGGCGGCAGGCCUAACACAUGCAAGUCGAACGGUAACAGGAAGCAGCUUGCUGCUUUGCUGACGAGUGGCGAACGGGUGAGUAAUGUCUGGGAAACUGCCUGAUGGAGGGGGAUAACUACUGGAAACGGUGGCUAAUACCGCAUAACGUCGCAAGACCAAAGAGGGGGACCUUCGGGCCUCUUGCCAUCAGAUGUGCCCAGAUGGGAUUAGCUUGUUGGUGAGGUAACGGCUCACCAAGGCGACGAUCCCUAGCUGGUCUGAGAGGAUGACCAGCCACACUGGAACUGAGACACGGUCCAGACUCCUACGGGAGGCAGCAGUGGGGAAUAUUGCACAAUGGGCGCAAGCCUGAUGCAGCCAUGCCGCGUGUAUGAAGAAGGCCUUCGGGUUGUAAAGUACUUUCAGCGGGGAGGAAGGUGUUGUGGUUAAUAACCGCAGCAAUUGACGUUACCC
rnacentral:rRNA from 2 species